AUUGAACGCUGGCGGCAGGCCUAACACAUGCAAGUCGAGCGGAUGAAGGGAGCUUGCUCCUGGAUUCAGCGGCGGACGGGUGAGUAAUGCCUAGGAAUCUGCCUGGUAGUGGGGGAUAACGUCCGGAAACGGGCGCUAAUACCGCAUACGUCCUGAGGGAGAAAGUGGGGGAUCUUCGGACCUCACGCUAUCAGAUGAGCCUAGGUCGGAUUAGCUAGUUGGUGGGGUAAAGGCCUACCAAGGCGACGAUCCGUAACUGGUCUGAGAGGAUGAUCAAUCACACUGGAACUGAGACACGGUCCAGACUCCUAUGGGAGGCAGCAGUGGGGAAUAUUGGACAAUGGGCGAAAGCCUGAUCCAGCCAUGCCGCGUGUGUGAAGAAGGUCUUCGGAUUGUAAAGCACUUUAAGUUGGGAGGAAGGGCAGUAAGUUAAUACCUUGCUGUUUUGACGUUACCAACAGAAUAAGCACCGGCUAACUUCGUG
rnacentral:rRNA from 1 species